UACGUAGGUGGCAAGCGUUGUCCGGAAUUACUGGGCGUAAAGGGCUCGUAGGUGGCCAACUAAGUCUGACGUGAAAUCCCUCGGCUUAACCGGGGAACUGCGUCUGAUACUGGAUGGCUUGAGAUUGGGAGAGGGGUGCGGAAUUCCAGGUGUAGCGGUGAAAUGCGUAGAUAUCUGGAGGAACACCGGUGGCGAAGGCGGCAUCCUGGACCAACACUGACACUGAGGAGCGAAAGCCAGGGGAGCAAACGGG
rnacentral:rRNA from 1 species